rnacentral:rRNA from 1 species
AGGACGAACGCUGGCGGCGUGCCUAACACAUGCAAGUGGAGCGACGAACCGGGCUUCGGCCCGGGGCAAAGCCGCGAACGGGUGAGUAACACGUGGGUAACCUGCCCCGAUGAUUGGGACAACCCGAGGAAACUCGGGCUAAUACCGAAUGUGCCCUCCGGCCUCAAGGCCGCUGGGGAAAGGAAGCUUCGGCCUCCGCAUCGGGAUGGGCCCGCGGCCCAUUAGCUUGUUGGUGAGGUAACGGCUCACCAAGGCGACGAUGGGUAGCUGGUCUGAGAGGACGAUCAGCCACACUGGGACUGAGACACGGCCCAGACUCCUACGGGAGGCAGCAGUGGGGGAAUAUUGGACAAUGGGCGCAAGCCUGAUCCAGCCAUGCCGCGUGAGUGAUGAAGGCCCUAGGGUUGUAAAGCUCUUUUGUGCGGGAAGAUAAUGACGGUACCGCAAGAAUAAGCCCCGGCUAACUUCGUGCCAGCAGCCGC